rnacentral:rRNA from 1 species
CCUACGGGAGGCAGCAGUGAGGAAUAUUGGUCAAUGGGCGAGAGCCUGAACCAGCCAUGCCGCGUGCAGGAAGACGGUCCUAUGGAUUGUAAACUGCUUUUAUGCAGGAAGAAACACUCCCUCGUGAGGGAACUUGACGGUACUGUAGGAAUAAGGAUCGGCUAACUCCGUGCCAGCAGCCGCGGUAAUACGGAGGAUCCAAGCGUUAUCCGGAAUCAUUGGGUUUAAAGGGUCUGUAGGCGGUUUAAUAAGUCAGUGGUGAAAUCUGGUCGCUCAACGAUCAAACGGCCAUUGAUACUGUUAAACUUGAAUUAGUGUGAAGUAACUAGAAUAUGUAGUGUAGCGGUGAAAUGCUUAGAUAUUACAUGGAAUACCAAUUGCGAAGGCAGGUUACUAACACUACAUUGACGCUGAUAGACGAAAGCGUGGGUAGCGAACAGGAUUAGAUACCCUGGUAGUCCACGCCGUAAACGAUGGAUACUAGCUGUUUGGAGCAAUCUGAGUGGCUAAGCGAAAGUGAUAAGUAUCCCACCUGGGGAGUACGCACGCAAGUGUGAAACUCAAAGGGAAUUGACGG